AAAAAAACCAUGGUCCCAAAAAAAUAAUCGUUCAAUAAAAAGCACACGCUGCAACGUUUCAAGAUCUACCGGUAACAAACCAGAAGGCAGCUAACCAUUCUCUCGUUCAAGCAUCAAGAGUCUUCUCUCUCCCACAGUUCUCUCCACUUCCGAGGUUGGGUUUAGGGUGUUUGUUGUAACCAGACUCGAGUUUGAUUUCAGUUGAUAUAUACUAGCUAGUGACAAAGGAAGCAUGGCCAAGCAUCAUCCUGAUUUGAUUAUGUGCAGGAAGCAGCCUGGGAUUGCAAUUGGUCGGUUGUGUGAGAAGUGCGAUGGGAAGUGUGUGAUAUGUGAUUCCUAUGUGCGUCCUUGCACACUUGUUAGGGCUUGCGAUGAAUGCAACUAUGGGUCGUUCCAGGGUCGGUGUGUGAUCUGUGGAGGUGUGGGUAUCUCUGAUGCCUAUUAUUGCAAAGAGUGUACUCAGCAGGAGAAGGACCGUGAUGGCUGUCCAAAGAUUGUUAACUUGGGCAGUGCUAAAACUGAUCUCUUCUAUGAGCGCAAGAAAUAUGGAUUUAAGCAGAGAUAGAGAGUUUGUUGUUGGGGAAUUCUUCUGCCUGUUAACUAUGUUUUGUAUUACUUAUAUUAUGGUGUUCAAACUUCUAUCUAAUACUGAAUCACUCUACUGGUAAACAUUUUAAUGGGUUUUCAGUAUUUUGAGAAUUGUUGGUUCAUUACUGCUGUUAUAUUUUCGUUCAUCUUUGUCCCAGCAUAUGCAUAGCUGUUCCUUGAUUUUAAUGCUUUUGAUGCAGAGUUACUUUAUAUCGGUGCAUAUUGGUUCCUAGAUUUCAUCGCUUCGGGAUUGCUCAACGUAAAUGUGGUAAUAAAAAUCGACGAGGGUUUUGAUUCUUUCGUGUCUAUUCAUUUAGUAAAAUUGAUCUCUCUUCUAUGAGCACAAGAACUAAGGAUUUAAGCAGAGAUAGAGAGUUUAUUGCUGGGGAAUUGUUCUGUCUGUUAACUAUGUUUUUUAUAACUUAUGGUGUUCAAACUUCUAUCUAGUACUGAAUCACUCUACUGGUAAACAUUUUACUGGGUCUUCAUUAUUCUGAGAAAUUAUGUUUAGAUUCUUGCAGAAGUGUUACAGUACCAAAAAAAAAAAGUUUAAUUGUUUUA